rnacentral:rRNA from 1 species
CACAGUGUAGCAAUACAGGGGUGGCGACCGGCAAACGGGCGCGGAACACGUACGCAACCUUCCUUCAGGCGGGGAAUAGCCCAGAGAAAUUUGGAUUAAUACCCCAUAAUAUUUUGAGAUGGCAUCAUCUUAUUAUUAAAGCUACGGCACCUGGAGAUGGGCGUGCGGCUGAUUAGGUAGUUGGCGGGGUAAUGGCCCACCAAGCCUACGAUCAGUAGCUGAUGUGAGAGCAUGAUCAGCCACACGGGCACUGAGACACGGGCCCGACUCCUACGGGAGGCAGCAGUAAGGAAUAUUGGUCAAUGGACGCAAGUCUGAACCAGCCAUGCCGCGUGGAGGAUGAAGGUCCUCUGGAUUGUAAACUUCUUUUAUCUGGGACGAAAAAAGGGUUUUCUAACUCGUCUGACGGUACCAGAUGAAUAAGCACCGGCUAACUCCGUGCCAGCAGCCGCGGUAAUACGGAGGGUGCAAGCGUUAUCCGGAUUCACUGGGUUUAAAGGGUGCGUAGGCGGGCAUUUAAGUCAGUGGUGAAAUACCUGAGCUUAACUUGGGAACUGCCAUUGAUACUAUUUGUCUUGAAUGUCGUGGAGGUUAGCGGAAUAUGUCAUGUAGCGGUGAAAUGCUUAGAUAUGACAUAGAACACCUAUUGCGAAGGCAGCUAACUACGCGAAUAUUGACGUUGAGGCACGAAAGCGUGGGGAUCAAACAGGAUUAGAUACCCUGGUAGUCCACGCCCUAAACGAUGAUUACUCGACAUUAGCGAUACACUGUUAGUGUCUGAGCG